GGAACUCUUUAUCAGUUGCAUUGCCUCCUUGAUGCGCUGUCCCGGAGAGCAGAGCCUGAUGUAUCCAACUCCCUCGACAGAGAAAGUCCCACUCUAUCAAAGAGAAAGAAAAGUGCCGCUCCCUCGGUCUCGUGCACGAUCCUCAAACAACCUUAAUAUGGACAACAGCGAUGUCCAUUGUGAUCUCCAUGUCGACCCAUCAGUAGCUCAGCUACCGGCAAUGAAGACGCCAGAAAUAGAAAGUGGAAUUAAUAAGCCCGAACCAACGGGUCCAUCUUGAAAAUAAUAAUCACUCCAUUGAGAUGAGGAGUACACGUAACCUCUCUAUACGCAGCUUACCGCUAACAACAAUCGGCGGCGCAUUAACACAAACCGCCCAGACGAGUUUGUAGCUCACACUUGUAUUCUGUCACACGUAGUACACUACAAUACAGUACAGUACAGGAGAGGAGCAUUAUUGUCUGUUGCUCCUGUGUUUUCCCUUUCUUUCCGAUUCGGAUAUUUUUUUUAGACAAAUCCUUUUAUGUUUUAUCCCCAUGGAGAUAUACGUACUCACCUACCAAACCCUUUCAUUAAGUACGUGUUGGUGUGUGUGUUUUUUUUGAACCAN
rnacentral:lncRNA from 1 species